GGGGAAUUUUGGACAAUGGGGGCAACCCUGAUCCAGCCAUUCCGCGUGAGUGAAGAAGGCCUUCGGGUUGUAAAGCUCUUUUGUCCGGAACGAAACGGGUAGCGUGAAUAUCGCUGCCUACUGACGGUACCGGAAGAAUAAGCACCGGCUAACUACGUGCCAGCAGCCGCGGUAAUACGGAGGGAGCUAGCGUUGUUCGGAUAUACUGGGCGUAAAGCGCACGUAGGCGGCGCAGCAAGUCAGGGGUGAAAUCCCGGAGCUCAACUCCGGAACUGCCCUUGAAACGGCAGUGCUAGAAUCCUGGAGAGGCGAGUGGAAUUCCGAGUGUAGAGGUGAAAUUCGUAGAUAUUCGGAAGAACACCAGUGGCGAAGGCGACUCGCUGGACACAUAUUGACGCUGAGGUGCGGAAGCGUGGGGAGCAAAC
rnacentral:rRNA from 1 species